GGCCCUGUGAACACUGAGAUGGAGCAGAGCAGCACUGGGAAUGGGGAUUCCGCUCAAGCUGCUCCAGGCUGGCUCUCCAGCUCCACAUUUUGGGUGGGAAAACAACAAAAAACCCAUCCCAAGGUUCCACGAUUUGGGUGUGAAAACAACAAAAAAAAACAUCCCAAGGUUCCACGAUUUGGGUGUGAAAACAACAAAAAAACCCAUCCCAAGGUUCCACAUUUUGGGUGUGAAAACAACAAAAAACCCAUCCCAAGGCUCCAUGAUUUGGGUGUGAAAACAAAAUAAAAAACCCCUACCCAAGGCUCCACAUUUUGGGUGUGAAAACAAAAUAAAAAACCCAUCUCAAGGCUCCAUAUUUUAGGUGUAAAAACAACAAAAGAAACCCUACCCAAGGCUCUACAUUUUGGGUGUGAAAACAAAAUAAAAAACCCCUACCCAAGGCUCCACAAUUUGGGUGUGAAAACAAAAUAAAAAACCCAUCCCAAGGUUCCAUAUUUUGGGUGUGAAAACAACAAAAAAAAAAAACAUCCCAAGGCUCCACAUUUUGGGUGUAAAAAUAACAAAAAACCCAUCCCAAGGUUCCACGAUUUGGGUGUGAAAACAAAAUAAAAAGCCCAUCCCAAGGUUCCACAUUUUGGGUGUAAAAACAACAAAAAACCCAUCCCAAGGUUCCACGAUUUGGGUGUGAAAACAAAAUAAAAAACCCAUCUCAAGGUUCCACGUUUUGGGUGUGAAAAACAACAAAAAAAAACCCUACCCAAGGCUCUACUAUUUGGGUGUAAAAACAACAACAAAAAAAAAAAACAUCCCAAGGUUCCACAAUUUGGGUGUAAAAAUAACAAAAAACCCAUCCCAAGGUUCCACGUUUUGGGUGUGAAAACAACAAAAAAAACCCAUCUCAAGGUUCCAUGAUUUGGGUGUGAAAACAACAAAAAACCCAUCCCAAGGUUCCACGUUUUGGGUGUGAAAACAACAAAAAAAACCCAUCUCAAGGCUCCACAUUUUGGGUGUAAAAAUAACAAAAAAAAAAAACCCUACCCAAGGCUCUACAUUUUGGGUGUGAAAACAAAAUAAAAAACCCAUCUCAAGGUUCCACAUUUUGGGUGUAAAAACAAAAUAAAAAACCCAUCUCAAGGUUCCACAGUUUGGGUGUGAAAACAAAAUAAAAAACCCAUCCCAAGGUUCCACGAUUUGGGUGUGAAAAUAACAAAAAACCCAUCCCAAGGUUCCACAAUUUGGGUGUAAAAACAACAAAAAAACCCUACCCAAGGUUCCACAAUUUGGGUGUAAAAACAAAAUAAAAAA